GGGGUGUGGGGCAGCUACACUUGCAGUCGUAACAAGUGUAACCAAGGAGCUUGCUCUUAUGAAGUUAGCGGCGGACGGGUGAGUAACACGUGGGUAACCUGCCCAUAAGACUGGGAUAACUCCGGGAAACCGGGGCUAAUACCGGAUAACAUUUUGAACCGCAUGGUUCGAAAUUGAAAGGCGGCUUCGGCUGUCACUUAUGGAUGGACCCGCGUCGCAUUAGCUAGUUGGUGAGGUAACGGCUCACCAAGGCAACGAUGCGUAGCCGACCUGAGAGGGUGAUCGGCCACACUGGGACUGAGACACGGCCCAGACUCCUACGGGAGGCAGCAGUAGGGAAUCUUCCGCAAUGGACGAAAGUCUGACGGAGCAACGCCGCGUGAGUGAUGAAGGCUUUCGGGUCGUAAAACUCUGUUGUUAGGGAAGAACAAGUGCUAGUUGAAUAAGCUGGCACCUUGACGGUACCUAACCAGAAAGCCACGGCUAACUACGUGCCAGCAGCCGCGGUAAUACGUAGGUGGCAAGCGUUAUCCGGAAUUAUUGGGCGUAAAGCGCGCGCAGGUGGUUUCUUAAGUCUGAUGUGAAAGCCCACGGCUCAACCGUGGAGGGUCAUUGGAAACUGGGAGACUUGAGUGCAGAAGAGGAAAGUGGAAUUCCAUGUGUAGCGGUGAAAUGCGUAGAGAUAUGGAGGAACACCAGUGGCGAAGGCGACUUUCUGGUCUGUAACUGACACUGAGGCGCGAAAGCGUGGGGAGCAAACAGGAUUAGAUACCCUGGUAGUCCACGCCGUAAACGAUGAGUGCUAAGUGUUAGAGGGUUUCCGCCCUUUAGUGCUGAAGUUAACGCAUUAAGCACUCCGCCUGGGGAGUACGGCCGCAAGGCUGAGACUCAAAGGAAUUGACGGGGGCCCGCACAAGCCGUGGAGCAUGUGGUUUAAUUCGAAGCAACGCGAAUAACCUUACCAGGUCUUGACAUCCUCUGACAACCCUAGAGAUAGGGCUUCUCCUUCGGGAACCGAAGGGCCAGUGGGGCAUGGUUGGCGUCAGCUCGGGCCAGGAAAGUUGGGGUUAAUUCCCGCAAGAAGCGAAAUCCUUGAA
rnacentral:rRNA from 1 species